rnacentral:rRNA from 1 species
UACGAACCGUACAAACGUUAUUCGGAAUCACUGGGCUUAAAGGGUGCGUAGGCGGCCAUGUAAGUGAGGUGUGAAAUCCCUCGGCUCAACCGAGGAACUGCGCUUCAUACUGCAUGGCUCGAGGGAGACAGGGGUAAGCGGAACUGAUGGUGGAGCGGUGAAAUGCGUUGAUAUCAUCAGGAACACCGGUGGCGAAAGCGGCUUACUGGGUCUCUUCUGACGCUGAGGUACGAAAGCUAGGGGAGCGAACGGG